rnacentral:rRNA from 1 species
CCUACGGGAGGCAGCAGUGGGGAAUAUUGGGCAAUGGACGCAAGUCUGACCCAGCAACGCCGCGUGAAGGACGAAGGCUUUCGGGUUUUAAACUUCUUUUGAGGGGGAGGAGCAGUAGACGGUACCCCUUGAAUAAGCCACGGCUAACUACGUGCCAGCAGCGGCUGUAAUACGUCGGUGGCAAGCGUUGUCCGGAUUUACUGGGUGUAAAGGGCGUGAAGCCGGAGAGACAAGUCAGAUGGGAAAUCCACGGGCUCAACCCGUGAACUGCCUUUGAAACUGUUUCCCUUGAGUGUCGGAGAGGUAAGAGGAAUGCGUUGUGUAGCGGUGAAAUGCGUAGAUAUAAGGAAGAACACCAGUGGCGAAGGCGGAUUACUGGACGAUAACUGACGGUGAGGCGCGAAAGCGUGGGGAGCAAACAGGAUUAGAUACCCCAGUAGUC